GAUGAACGCUAGCUACAGGCUUAACACAUGCAAGUCGAGGGGCAGCGGGAUUGAAGCUUGCUUCAAUUGCCGGCGACCGGCGCACGGGUGAGUAACGCGUAUCCAACCUUCCGCUUACUCGGGGAUAGCACUGAGAAAUUGGUACUAAUACCCCAUAAUAUCAUAGAAGGCAUCUUUUAUGGUUGAAAAUUCCGAUGGUUAGAGAUGGGCAUGCGUUGUAUUAGCUAGUUGGUGGGGUAACGGCUCACCAAGGCGACGAUACAUAGGGGGGACUGAGAGGUUAACCCCCCACACUGGUACUGAGACACGGACCAG
rnacentral:rRNA from 1 species